GGGAGUCACAAUGUAGCCGCAAUAGGGAUAAGAAGUUCGGAACCAUUCUCCGUUGUCCGAGAUGGGAGCAUGUUUGAGGAGAUCACCUCCAGAGAAGGAUGUUCAAUGGGCGCACUGGUGGCCAUGGUCACGAUUCAGAGGGAAUACUGAGCUCCAGCUGAGGGUUGAGCUGGUUACCUGUCCUGUUGAAGUAGACAUGAACUGGAAACUUCGCAUUAUCAUGCCCAACAGUGACAAGAAUUCCUUGUCGUCAUAUUCAAAGCGGUUCCCAAACACAAUGGAACUGAUGACGUUGGAGACUGUCCGGCUCAUGUAGAAGGUGGGGUCUAUUGUGGCACCUGGGAGGCGGGCCAGGGUUGAAAGGGAAGGAGAUUGGGGAAGCGCGUCUCAGUUGAUGGCGGUGUGAGCCCUAAAGAUUGGGCGCCUUUCCCAAGUCCCCACUGUCUGUCUCCAUCACUCUUCAAAACCUGCUGCUUCUCUUGUCUGUCCCGUGUGCUCCAUGACCCCCAGCCUCACCGUUUGUGUCCCGCAGGGCCUGUAUGAGAAAGCUGGUCUCCUCUAUGGUGCGCUCCUCAAUGCCACGUUUUCCAAAGCCGAAGUCCCUCAGCGUGGCGAUGGAGAAGCGCCUGAGUUGCUUGGCGCGCUCCCCGGAGCUGAACACCACACCUGGGAUCCCAACACAAGCACAGGAAUUGGUUAGAGCGGCACCUUUGGGCAAUGUAGCAACUCUAACCAGAUCCUGGAGGCUGUGGGUUUGGGCAAAGGGCUGGAGUUGGACAUGAAAUGUUGAAAAACCAAUAAAAAGGAGAAAGAGGGACCA